rnacentral:rRNA from 1 species
UGGGGAAUAUUGCGCAAUGGGGGGAUCCCUGACGCAGCCAUGCCGCGUGAAUGAAGAAGGCCUUAGGGUUGUAAAGUUCUUUCGGUAUUGAGGAAGGUUGAUGUGUUAAUAGCACAUCAAAUUGACGUUAAAUACAGAAGAAGCACCGGCUAACUCCGUGCCAGCAGCCGCGGUAAUACGGAGGGUGCGAGCGUUAAUCGGAAUAACUGGGCGUAAAGGGCACGCAGGCGGUUAUUUAAGUGAGGUGUGAAAGCCCCGGGCUUAACCUGGGAAUUGCAUUUCAGACUGGGUAACUAGAGUACUUUAGGGAGGGGUAGAAUUCCACGUGUAGCGGUGAAAUGCGUAGAGAUGUGGAGGAAUACCGAAGGCGAAGGCAGCCCCUUGGGAAUGUACUGACGCUCAUGUGCGAAAGCGUGGGGAGCAAACAGGAUUAGAUACCCUGGUAGUCCACGCUGUAAACGCUGUCGAUUUGGGGGUUGGGGUUUAACUCUGGCGCCCGUAGCUAACGUGAUAAAUCGACCGCCUGGGGAGUACGGCCGCAAGGUUA